rnacentral:rRNA from 1 species
UACGUAGGGACCAAGCGUUUGUCCGGAAUCAUUGGGCGUAAAGAGCGUGUAGGCGGCUUGUUAAGUCUUGCGUGAAAUCUCGGGGCUCAACCCCGAGCGGUCGUGAGAAACUGGCAGGCUAGAGUACGGAAGAGGCGAGUGGAAUUCCUGGUGUAGCGGUGAAAAUGCGCAGAUAUCAGGAGGAACACCGAUUGCGAAGGCAGCUCGCUGGGGACGUCACUGACGCUGAGACGCGAAAAGCGUGGGGGAGCAAACAGG